UACAGAGGUCCCAAGCGUUGUUCGGAUUCAUUGGGCGUAAAGGGUGCGUAGGUGGCGCUGUAAGUCAGGUGUGAAAUUUCGGAGCUUAACUCCGAAACUGCAUUUGAUACUGCGGUGCUUGAGGACUGGAGAGGAGACUGGAAUUUACGGUGUAGCAGUGAAAUGCGUAGAGAUCGUAAGGAAGACCAGUGGCGAAGGCGGGGUCUCUGGACAGUUCCUGACACUGAGGCACGAAGGCCAGGGGAGCAAACGGG
rnacentral:rRNA from 1 species